AUAUCGGAACGUGCCCAGUCGUGGGGGAUAACGUAGAGAAAUUUACGCUAAUACCGCAUACGAUCUAAGGAUGAAAGCGGGGGAUUCGCAAGAACCUCGCGCGAUUGGAGCGGCUGAUAUCAGAUUAGGUUGUUGGUGAGGUAAAAGCUCACCAAGCCGACGAUCUGUAGCUGGUUUGAGAGAACGACCAGCCACAUUGGGACUGAGACACGGCCCAGACUCCUACGGGAGGCAGCAGUGGGGAAUUUUGGACAAUGGGCGAAAGCCUGAUCCAGCAAUGCCGCGUGCAGGAAGAAGGCCUUCGGGUUGUAAACUGCUUUUGUACGGAACGAAAAAGCCUUUUCUAAUAAAGAGGGUUCAUGACGGUACCGUAAGAAUAAGCACCGGCUAACUACGUGCCAGCAGCCGCGGUAAUACGUAGGGUGCGAGCGUUAAUCGGAAUUACUGGGCGUAAAGCGUGCGCAGGCGGUCCUAUAAGACAGAUGUGAAAUCCCCGGGCUCAACCUGGGAAUGGCAUUUGUGAC
rnacentral:rRNA from 1 species